rnacentral:tRNA from 1 species
AGGGAUUUAGCUCAGCGGCAUAAGCACCUGCCUUGAAAGCAGGCAGUCGUGAGUUCGAUCCCUG